rnacentral:rRNA from 1 species
UACGUAGGGGGCAAGCGUUGUCCGGAAUCAUUGGGCGUAAAGCGCGCGUAGGCGGCCCGGUAAGUCCGUUGUGAAAGUCAAAGGCUCAACCUUUGAACGCCGAUGGAUACUGCCGGGCUAGAGUCCGGAAGAGGCGAGUGGAAUUCCUGGUGUAGCGGUGAAAUGCGCAGAUAUCAGGAAGAACACUAAUGGCGAAAGCAGCUCUCUGGGACGGUACUGACGCUGAGACGCGAAAGCGUGGGGAGCGAACAGG